rnacentral:rRNA from 1 species
CCCUUAGAUGUCCUGGGCCGCACGCGUGUUACACUGACGCCUACAGCGAGUACUUCCCAGCCCCGAGAGGUGGCUGGUAAUCAGCAAUAGGCGUCGUGAUGGGGAUAGAUCUUUGGAAUUAUGGAUCUUGAACGAGGAAUGCCUAGUAAGCGCAGGUCAUUAGCCUGCGCUGAUUAAGUCCCUGCCCUUUGUACACACCGCCCGUCGCUCCUACCGAUUUCGAGUGGUCCGGUGAAUCUUUCGGACUGCGCGCGGCCUCGUGCCGUGUCGCGGAAAGUCAGGUAAACCUUAUCACUUAGAGGAAGGAGAAGUCGUANCA